GCGCCCAUAGCUCAAUGGAUAGAGCGCCGGUCUUCGGAACCGUAGGUUGUGGGUUCGAAUCCCUCUGGGCGCG
rnacentral:tRNA from 1 species